AGAGCGAACGCUGGCGGCAGGCCUAACACAUGCAAGUCGAGCGCGUGUAGCAAUACACGAGCGGCAGGCGGGAGAGUAACACGUGGGAACGCGCCCUUCGGUUCGGAAUAACUCAGGGAAACUUGAGCUAAUACCGGAUACGCCCUUACGGGGAAAGAUUUAUUGCCGAAGGAACGGCCCGCGUCCGAUUAGCUAGUUGGUGAGGUAACGGCUCACCAAGGCGACGAUCGGUAGCUGGUCUGAGAGGAUGACCAGCCUCACUGGGACUGAGACACGGCCCAGACUCCUACGGGAGGCAGCAGUGGGGAAUAUUGGACAAUGGGCGCAAGCCUGAUCCAGCCAUGCCGCGUGGAUGAUGAAGGCCUUAGGGUUGUAAAGUCCUUUUAACGGGGAAGAUAAUGACGGUACCCGUAGAAUAAGCCCCGGCUAACUUCGUGCCAGCAGCCGC
rnacentral:rRNA from 1 species